rnacentral:rRNA from 1 species
UACGUAGGGUGCAGGCGUUAAUCGGAAUUACUGGGCGUAAAGCGUGCGCAGGCGGUUUGCUAAGACAGGUGUGAAAUCCCCGGGCUUAACCUGGGAACUGCGCUUGUAACUGGCAAGCUGGAGUGUGGCAGAGGGGGGUGGAAUUCCGACGUGUAGCAGUGAAAUGCGUAGAGAUGUGGAGGAACACCGAUGGCGAAGGCAGCCCCCUGGGCUAACACUGACGCUCGAUGCACGAAAGCGUGGGGAGCAAACAGG